rnacentral:rRNA from 1 species
CGCUGGCGGCGUGCCUAAUACAUGCAAGUCGAACGGUCUUUCUAUGGAAGCUUGCUUCCACUGAGAAGAUAGUGGCGAACGGUGAGUAACACGUGGGUAACCUGCCCAUAAGAGGGGGAUAACAUCCGGAAACGGGUGCUAAUACCGCAUAGUUUUCUUGAUCGCAUGAUCGGGAAAGGAAAGACGGCCUUUGUGCUGUCGCUUAUGGAUGGACCCGCGGCGUAUUAGUUAGUUGGUGAGGUAACGGCUCACCAAGACGAUGAUACGUAGCCGACCUGAGAGGGUGAUCGGCCACAUUGGGACUGAGACACGGCCCAAACUCCUACGGGAGGCAGCAGUAGGGAAUCUUCCGCAAUGGACGAAAGUCUGACGGAGCAACGCCGCGUGAGUGAAAGAAGGUUUUCGGAUCGUAAAACUCUGUUGUCAGAGAAGAACAAGUUGGAGAGUAACUGCUCCAGCCUUGACGGUAUCUGACCUAAGAAAGCCACGGCUAACUACGUGCCAGCCGCCGC